rnacentral:tRNA from 1 species
AACUAGCCUAGUUUAACUAAAACAGUAGCUUGUCAGGCUGAAAAUACAUCUAUGCUUGUGGUUAGUUG